AGCGAACGCUGGCGGCAGGCCUAACACAUUCAAGCCGAACGAAGUCUUCGGACUUAGUGGCGGACGGGUGAGUAACACGCGGGAACGUGCCUUUAGGUUCGGAAUAACUCAGGGAAACUUGUGCUAAUACCGAACUUGACCAUCGGGGGAAAGAUUUAUCGCCUUUAGAGCGGCCCGCGUCUGAUUAGCUCGUUGGUGAGGUAAAGGCUCACCAAGGCGACGAGCAGUAGCUGGUCUGAGAGGAUGAUCAGCCCCAUCGGGACUGAGACACGGCCCAAACUCCUACGGGAGGCAGCAGUGGGGAAUCUUGCGCAAUGGGCGAAAGCCUGACGCAGCCAUGCCGCGUGAAUGAUGAAGGUCUUAGGAUUGUAAAAUUCUUUCACCGGGGACGAUAAUGACGGUACCCGGAGAAGAAGCCCCGGCUAACUUCGUGCCAGCCGCCGCGGUAACAC
rnacentral:rRNA from 1 species